UUAGACCCUGACAACCUGUACCCGGACCCUCUCGCCUCCUAUGGCCUGUGCCUCCCUAGUCCCCAGUCCCCACGGAGGCCGCCGGCAAUCCGGCAUGCCUCUCGCGGCCGUUGCCGCGCACCUCCACGUUCGGCGUAGCGCUGGGGGUGCGGCUGCUCGACGCCCUCUCCCAAGCCCCUGGCGGCCUCCACAGGGCGCUCGCCACCGCCUCCUCCACGCCGCGUCGCCCGCGGUCGUGGCCUGUGCUCGCUGUCCUCAAGUCCAUCUACACGCUCUCCAAUAACACGUACGUCCAACGAUCGUCGAGGGCUUCCUCGGCCUCCAGGUGCACAAGGGGUUCAGGAACGGGAUCGACGCGCUCGGGGUGGUCGUCAAGGUCGCCGUCAUCGUCUCUGAGGUCGCUGUUUGUGUGUGUGUGUGUGUGUGUGUGGGGGGGGGGGGGGGGGGGGGGGGGGGGGGGGGGGGGGGGGGUCCUCCUUGGCUGUAGCAAAUCUGAACCCCCCCCCCCCCCCCCCCCCCCCCCCCCCCCCCCCCCCCCCCCCCGAAGUUGCGCUCUUCGAUCCGGCCUCGGAAUUGCUCUCCCUCGUUGUGCGAGUUAGCCUUUAGCACAUAGUGACUGUUUGUACAUUUGCUUUUGUCAGAUAUAUGUCGAGGCGGUUCUUCAUCCAGUGCGUGCAACUAUGUUCGUGUACGAAUAGACAAGUGUGGUUCAAGAAACUGUACAUCAAUUUAUAGAGUGUUUGGUUUGAGGAAUGAUGUAGUCCAUCAUCUUCUCACACUUCACUUUUUUGUUUGGUUUGUGAAAUGGAGUGAGUUAAUCCAUCACCACCUCAUUCCUCAAAGUUAGUUGUUUAGUACUAAUAUGUGGAAUAGAGUCAUCCCACCAAAUUUGAGGAAUGAACCUAUUAUGCACCACUUCAUUUUGGAUAGAGUGAUUCAUCAAACCAAACACCUCAUUAAGGAUCCAAUCGUAUUGAUUUCAUCGAUCAAAUCUUUUUUGCCAGAGUAAAUUCUGACAUGGAAUUCUGAGUGUUGUUUUCUAGAUUGCCAUCCAGUCGGAGUUCCAAUUCUGUAGAAUGCUGGUUUGGGUGAAGCAUAGUUUGUAAAUUUGACCACUCAUUGUAGCUUAGCUGUAAUGGAGAUUUGCAACCUGGUACAUUGCCUACUUACCCCGUAGCGUCAAACCUUUUAGUUCAUUAAGAUUUUACUCUUUGCCGUAAUGCAACUGUGGAUACAUUACUCUCUAUAGAUCUGUAGUUUGUUCUUGGAUAACUCAAAUUAAACAGAAAAUCAACAGAAUUGGAUAUCUGGAAUUUCAUGGGCCUAUGAUUUAUCAGCAAGAUCAUUAACCUUACUAAACUCAAAGAGUAUAAUGUUGAACAUUUUUGCUAUGCUUAUUCAUAUUGUUCUUGUUAGUUCCAACUCUUGAUCCUUCUGCACAUAAGGGCACAGGCUAAAAAGGCCCAAUAUAUUAAGUUUACUUAUUACUGUGCUCUGUUGCCAUGUUUUUUGAUUCUCUGAUGUACCAUUGCUACAUUCUAUCCUUGAAAUUCUCUGAUGAGCAGAUCAAAUCUAGACUCUGCUACGAAGAAAUACUUAAGAGAUCCUCAGAACUUUUAUUUCUAUAGAUGACAUAGUUAUAUACACAAAUGACUCUUCUGGAGACUCACUACCACAUUCACUUGUGACAAUGGUAAACAAGUGACAGCAGAUUGACACAUACAUUAAAUCUACAUUAGUUGAACUAAAUUCUUGAGCUUCUAAUGAUGUAAGUUUAUUUUAAUGGAAAUAAAAAAACUGUGCUCGACGUCGCACAACUUCAAAUAAGACAUUGGGUCUUAGUUUUUGUGUGGUUGAGACUUGAGAAUCAUAUCCAUGAUUCAAUGGUGGAUUUAUACUUGUAGUUGUAGGGAUUUAAUCCAUUUAGUUGCGCAAGAAUGUCAGAUGUGUCCAGCAUGUCCUCUUCUUUCAUAUGGUCCUGAAAAAAAGGUAAGAGAUCUUGUUAACUAUGCAUAGAAGUAUUCCAGGUUCUUGUUUAAAAACAAUGAGAAUGCAUAAGAAGAAUCAUGUUUUUUUUUAUUCCAGGUUCUCGUUUGAUAAGACUGUGUAUAGUUCAAUUGAAAACUUACAGUUUGUUCAUAAUGUUCAUGACUCUGGGAGCCUGAUUGCGCUGCUUCACAGAGUUCAUCAUUCUUGGCAAACCUUCCACGGACACGGGGCCUGCUAUCCGCCAAGGUUUUUCUACAUGCGUACUGCAUUUCGUUGUAUGUCAGGCUGUCAGCACAGCUGAAUACGUAAGAUGUCCAUGCGGAGGUACCGCUCUAUUGAAAUGCUCAAUGGUACCUUUAUUUUUUUGCGGAAAUUUCUCUCGUUCCGUUUCUUUAUGUACCUAUGGAUCUUUUCCUUUCUCUCUUCAGGCGACAAGCGGACGACCUUAAACGUGGAGUCUUCCAGUACUGAUAGUUCCGUCGGAGGUAACGUUGCUGGGUUCCCGUUGCAUCCGUUUAUCAGGUGCUGAUUAUUUCCUCCUACCUGUUUAGUUAACAUAAUUCUGUGUAAGAAUCGGAAAUGGUAUGCAUGGUCAACUGGUUACUUUACCUGUGCUGUGUACCUAGGUUUUUGAACGUUACCUGCAUCUCUGCAUUAGUGUUAAAUGUCCCUUGCAUGGAAUCUGUGUCGUCAUAUGUUGUUGUCAGCCCUUCACCUUCCAUCAUCUUCUGAUACUCGCCAAUCAUCACCAUACUGUUGCUGCCGGCACUGCUGAAGAAUUCCUGUUGUGAUGCAUCUGCACUGCAGCCUGGAAGAACUGCUCCAGUUUGCUGAUACAUGGCUCCAUCCAGACCCAUGAACCCUCCAGCUGCUACGGCUGCCAUGAAGCACUCAUCAUAGUCUGUAGCGAGCGGCAUCAAGGCAGAUGCACUGCUGCUCAUCUGCACUGGAGGAGGCACCUGCUCGUCUAAGGUCUCUGGAAGUCCCAUCUGGUCGAACUGCCCUAUGCUGGCCUCAUCGGUGGCAGUUGGAUAGUAUGCUGCUACCUCUGAUAGGCCAUCGAUCUGCGGGAGGAACCCGGCGUCAAGGCCAUGGUGCUGCUCUUCCUCCAGGAGGGCUGUGAGAGUGGUGUCGAAGGAUGUCAACGGGGUGUAGGCUGUGGCUCCACCAGCAGCUGCGGUGUCUUCACUGUAGCCGCAGAUAGGAGGGGUGGUAGCGGUAGACGAAGAAACAUCAUCGUCAGUGGCAGGGAAUGGGCCA
rnacentral:lncRNA from 1 species